GACGAACGCUGGCGGCGUGCCUAACACAUGCAAGUCGAACGGAGAAGUUGAUUUCGGUUGACUUCUUAGUGGCGAACGGGUGAGUAACGCGUGAACAACCUGACCUCAAGAGGGGGAUACCAACGAGAAAUCGUUGUUAAUACCGCAUAAGACCACAGCGCCGCAUGGCAAAGGGGUCAAAGGAGCAAUCCGCUUGAGGAGGGGUUCGCGUCCCAUUAGGUAGUAGGCGGGGUAACGGCCCACCUAGCCAGCGAUGGGUAGCCGAGCUGAGAGGCUGAACGGCCACACUGGAACUGAGACACGGUCCAGACUCCUACGGGAGGCAGCAGUGGGGAAUAUUGGGCAAUGGGCGCAAGCCUGACCCAGCAACGCCGCGUGAGGGAAGAAGGUUUUCGGAUUGUAAACCUCUGUCGCAGAUGACGAAGGAAGUGACGGUAAUCUGUGAGGAAGCCCCGGUAACUACGUG
rnacentral:rRNA from 1 species